CGUAGCGAUUCUGACGUGCAAAUCGAUCGUCAAAUUUGGGUAUAGGGGCGAAAGACUAAUCGAACCGUCUAGUAGCUGGUUCCCUUCGAAGUUUCCCUCAGGAUAGCUGGCGCUCUGUCGCAGUUUUAUCUGGUAAAGCGAAUGAUUAGAGGUCUUGGGGGCGAAACGCCCUCAACCUAUUCUCAAACUUUAAAUUGGUAAGAAGCCCGACUCGCUCGUUUGGAGCCGGGCAUGGAAUGCGAGUGCCAAGUGGGCCACUCUUGGUAAGCAGGACUGGCGAUGCGGGAUGAACCGAACGCCGGGUUAAGGCGCCCGACGCGACGCUCAUCAGAGCCCACAAAAGGUGUUGGUUGAUAUAGACAGCAGGACGGUGGCCAUGGAAGUCGGAAACCGCUAAGGAGUGUGUAACAACUCACCUGCCGAAUCAAUCAGCCCUGAAAAUGGAUGGCGCUGGAGCGUCGGGCCUAUACCCGGCCGUCGCGGCGGUACGAGCAUCGAGUUGGUGCGCUAGGCCGCGACGAGUAGGAGGGCCGCGGCGGCGGGCGUAGAAGCCUAGGGCGCGAGCCCGGGUGGAGCAGCCGUCGGUGCAGAUCUUGGUGGUAGUAGCAAAUAUUCAAAUGAGAACUUUGAAGGCCGAAGUGGAGAAGGGUUCCAUUGAACAGCAGUUGAACAUGGGUCAGUCGACCCUAAGGGAUAGGCGAAGGCCGUUCUGAAGCGGGGUGAUGUUCGCGUCGCCCCGGCGGACCGAAAGGGAAUCGGGUUAAUAUUCCCGAACCUCGACGCGGAGAUUGGCGCUCCGGCGCCUAGUGCGGCAACGCAAACGAACUCGGAAACGCCGACGUGGGUCCCGGGAAGAGUUCUCUUUUCUUGGUAAGGGGCGGCGACCCUGGAAUCGGUUCGCCCGGAGAUAGGGACAUGGGCCCCGUAAAGCAGCACGUCUCUUGUGCUGUCCGGUGAGCUCGCGUCGGCCCUUGAAAAUCCGAGGGAGACGGUGUAAUUUUCGUGCGAGGUCGUACCCAUAUCCGCAGCAGGUCUCCAAGGUGAACAGCCUCUGGCCGAUAGAACAAUGUAGGUAAGGGAAGUCGGCAAACUAGAUCCGUAACUUCGGGAAAAGGAUUGGCUCUAGGGGCUGGGUCGGUCGGGCUGAGGUACGAAGCGGGGCGCGGCGCUGUACCGGACUGGGCGAACGACGGCCUCCCUCGCGGGGGGCUGGCGUGAGCCUGGACCUGUGUCGGCGUCUUCCCGUGGAAUGCCGCAGCUAACGCGGGCCUCGCGGCCCGCUUCGGCCGGCGU
rnacentral:ncRNA from 1 species